rnacentral:lncRNA from 1 species
AUAAUAACCCGGAGAUCGGUCCCAUUUUCUCCACGAAGACGCGCGCUCGCGAGCCCCGCGCUCCCGGUUCCGCGCCCGUUCUGGGCCGCGGUUCCCGCGCCGCGUCCAUUAGGUAAAUGAGCCCCGCCACUCAACCCCGCCGAAUAUUAAGGCGGGGAGCGCGACCGAGGGCCAGCAGAGACCCCGCUCGGCGGCGCGCCGCGCGCUCCGGGACCCGCCACCGAGUGCCGGAACCGAGUCGGAGUGGGAAUGGACGCGCCGACAGUGUAAUAACUGGAGAUUUUCAGACUGUCCUGACCUCACUGUGGCUCUCAGACGGAGAGAUAUGUUCUCCACCACACGCCAGACUUCGCUUCAAGGCCAGAAGAGCGAACCUGUUGAAUGCGCUUUGUUCGUCCUCAAGUGCGUUUUUUUUAUUAGUCUCCACUGCGUAAUUGCGCGCAGCUCAGGCGAGUAAUUUUUUUUUACUACGCGCUUUCUGUCUUUUCUAUUAUAAUUAUUAUUAUUUCUUGAUGUAUUGUGGCGAACCUCAGUCUCGGGGAAAGGACCCGUCCGAAGGUUGAGAAGAACCGAAGAGUGGCCGAAACCGGAGCGCGACGCGGAGAUUCUCCAGACCCCGCAGCUCGCCUCAUCGCGUCCUCUGGGCCGCCCGAUCGUGGACGCCUGCCCGUAAUUCUCCUCGUUAGAGACGCGCUCCCCCGGAACGCUCGGGUCCUGAUGGGAGGACCUUGUUUUAGGGGUAACUCUCCAGCGCGUCGACGCACCCUUUGUUUCGCCCCAAAGGUCAUUCGGAGAGGAGCAAGUAUCCGGCAGGCCUCUCGAAGACCCCCAUUCUUCAGCCGGAGAUUUCAUUCAGCCAAAAUUAAUGAAGCUCGAUUGGACGUAAUGACGCUAAUAGAUUUGCAGAGGAGCGCGCAGGAGACACGGGCCACGGAGCCGCUGCUAACGAAGUAGAUUUUUUUUUCACAAUUUCUUCACCAGUGUGAGUCGAUUGACAUCGACUGCACUUUUUAUGACUCUAAAUACCCGAUUAGAAUUCCUGAUUCCCGAUGCCCCACUUGCACCGAGCGACUGUUGCCAGAAUAUGCCAGAAAGUUUGGCAGUAUUUUAUUAAAUAAUCAUACCCCUCCACGUUGCCUGCUUCAGCAAACUCGCCAAUGUUAAUAAAGUUCAGGCUGAAUCGCA